AACGAACGCUGGCGGCAGGCCUAACACAUGCAAGUCGAACGAGAAGCCACCUUCGGGUGGUGGACAGUGGCAGACGGGUGAGUAACGCGUGGGAACGUGCCUUUCGGUUCGGAAUAACCCAGGGAAACUUGGGCUAAUACCGGAUACGCCCUUCGGGGGAAAGAUUCAUUGCCGAAAGAUCGGCCCGCGUCGGAUUAGCUAGUUGGUGGGGUAAUGGCUCACCAAGGCGACGAUCCGUAGCUGGUCUGAGAGGAUGACCAGCCACACUGGGACUGAGACACGGCCCAGACUCCUACGGGAGGCAGCAGUGGGGAAUAUUGGACAAUGGGCGAAAGCCUGAUCCAGCCAUGCCGCGUGGGUGAAGAAGGCCUUAGGGUUGUAAACCCCUUUCAGCGGGGAAGAUAAUGACGGUACCCGCAGAAGAAUCCCGGCUAACUCC
rnacentral:rRNA from 1 species